rnacentral:rRNA from 1 species
UACGGGGGGAGCAAGCGUUGUUCGGAUUUACUGGGCGUAAAGGGCGGGUAGGCGGCCACCGCAAGUCAGUUGUGAAAUCUCUGGGCUUAACCCAGAAAGGUCAACUGAUACUGCGGGGCUAGAGUGCAGAAGGGGCAACUGGAAUUCUCGGUGUAGCGGUGAAAUGCGUAGAUAUCGGGAAGAACACCCGUGGCGAAGGCGGUUCUCUGGGACGGUACUGACGCUGAGACGCGAAAGCGUGGGGAGCGAACAGG